rnacentral:tRNA from 1 species
CCAGAUAGCUAAGUUGGUCCGAGCGUCCGACUGAAAAUCGAAAAGUCGACGGUUCGAUCCCCUCCCUGGCC